rnacentral:rRNA from 1 species
GAUGAACGCUGGCGGCGUGCCUAAUACAUGCAAGUCGAGCGAACAGACGAGGAGCUUGCUCCUCUGACGUUAGCGGCGGACGGGUGAGUAACACGUGGAUAACCUACCUAUAAGACUGGGAUAACUUCGGGAAACCGGAGCUAAUACCGGAUAAUAUAUUGAACCGCAUGGUUCAAUAGUGAAAGACGGUUUUGCUGUCACUUAUAGAUGGAUCCGCGCCGCAUUAGCUAGUUGGUAAGGUAACGGCUUACCAAGGCAACGUUGCGUAGCCGACCUGAGAGGGGUAUCCGCCCAAACGGAACCGAAACACGGGCCAAGCCCCUAAGGGAGGCAGCAGUAGGGAAUCUUCCGCAAUGGGCGAAAGCCUGACGGAGCAACGCCGCGUGAGUGAUGAAGGUCUUCGGAUCGUAAAACUCUGUUAUUAGGGAAGAACAAAUGUGUAAGUAACUAUGCACGUCUUGACGGUACCUAAUCAGAAAGCCACGGCUAACUACGUG